rnacentral:rRNA from 1 species
GACGAACGCUGGCGGCGUGCCUAAUACAUGCAAGUCGAGCGGACCAAAUCGGAGCUUGCUCUGGUUUGGUCAGCGGCGGACGGGUGAGUAACACGUGGGCAACCUGCCCGCAAGACCGGGAUAACUCCGGGAAACCGGAGCUAAUACCGGAUAACACCGAAGACCGCAUGGUCUUUGGUUGAAAGGCGGCCUUUGGCUGUCACUUGCGGAUGGGCCCGCGGCGCAUUAGCUAGUUGGUGAGGUAACGGCUCACCAAGGCGACGAUGCGUAGCCGGCCUGGGAGGGUGACCGGCCACACUGGGACUGAGACACGGCCCAGACUCCUACGGGAGGCAGCAGUAGGGAAUCUUCUGCAAUGGGCGAAAGCCUGACGGAGCGACGCCGCGUGAGCGAAGAAGGCCUUCGGGUCGUAAAGCUCUGUUGUGAGGGACGAAGGAGCGCCGUUCGAAGAGGGCGGCGCGGUGACGGUACCUCACGAGGAAGCCCCGGCUAACUACGUGCCAGCAGCCGCGGUAAUACGUAGGGGGCGAGCGUUGUCCAGAAUUAUUGGGCGUAAAGCGCGCGCAGGCGGUUCCUUAAGUCUGAUGUGAAAGCCCACGGCUCAACCGUGGAGGGUCAUUGGAAACUGGGUGACUUGAGUGCAGGAGAGGAGAGCGGAAUUCCACGU